GUGGGGAAUUUUGGACAAUGGGCGCAAGCCUGAUCCAGCAAUGCCGCGUGUGUGAAGAAGGCCUUCGGGUUGUAAAGCACUUUUGGCAGGAAAGAAAUAGUGCGUGCUAAUACCAUGCGCGAAUGACGGUACCUGCAGAAUAAGCACCGGCUAACUACGUGCCAGCAGCCGCGGUAAGACGUAGGGUGCAAGCGUUAAUCGGAAUUACUGGGCGUAAAGCGUGCGCAGGCGGUUUUGUAAGACAGGUGUGAAAUCCCCGGGCUCUGCCUGGGAACUGCACUUGUGACUGCAAGGCUAGAGUGUGUCAGAGGGAGGUGGAAUUCCGCGUGUAGCAGUGAAAUGCGUAGAGAUGCGGAGGAACACCGAUGGCGAAGGCAGCCUCCUGGGAUAACACUGACGCUCAGGCACGAAAGCGUGGGGAGCAAACAGGAUUAGAUACCCGAGUAGUCC
rnacentral:rRNA from 1 species